CUGGGUGUGCUUUACGGACAAGCGCACGACAAUGACGUAGAGAGCAUAGCAACCACCCUGGGAGGGCCUAUGAGCCAUAACAACCAGUUGACCAAUCAACACAGGGCAAGCCCUCCAAGCCUGGAGGCACACCAAUCCUGAGCCUGUGCGUACCCCUAGACACUCCCCUUACGCUGCCCUAUAAGAUCUUUUGGGAGCCCGUUGGAGCCGUCUUUUUCUAGCCGUCUGCCAUGGCGGGUGGGUGAAAGACCCGAGCUAACAUGGGGUUAGUUCGUUAAAUUACAAUAAAGCCUCGUGCAGUUUGCAGCAAGCUCUCGAAUCCGCCUGGUGAUUGGGGUGACCGCGAACCUGGCCUGAGACCCCGGAUACUUGAGUUUUCGGGGGUCUAACAUUUUGGGGGCUCGUCCGCGAUUUGCGACCACCCUUCACCUGAGUGGAUUCGAUCUUGGAGAUGCGCCGGAGGACAGACUGCCACUCUGAGGACACCCAGGACCCAAGAGUUUAUAAUGUCAGACAGACUGCCAGAUCCGGACAGUGACCCAAAGUCUCCAAAGAAGAUUACGAGGCACCUCAGUUCCUGCACCUGGACCAGUGAGCGAGAUGCUCAGAUGUGAAACCUGCCGCCUGCCAGAACCUGGCCGAGAAUGUGGACAAAGCUGCUGGACACUGGAAAAUUGAUUGUACCCCUUUGCCUAGACAAAACAAGGUCAGUCUUUUCCAUGUCCCUCUUCCACAGAGAGAAAAAAAACUCUCACAGUAUAGGCCUGGCGAAGAUUGCUGGUCUUUGAGACACCUGCCUCCAGCGGUAAUGGAGAAACUUGGGUGUGGCUAACUGUAUAUAGACUGGCUUCUGUCACUUUUUAAUAGAUUCGGACAAAAUAUACCCUUCUCAGAUCUCUGAAAUAUUACUGGUUGUCAGCUUGACAGCAUCAGGCAGUCAGGUCCACUAUAGACUAGUCAGUAUGUUAGCUGAUAAAAUAGUAACUAUCUACUGUUCAGGCACAAGCUCAAGGUUUUUAAGUUUAUUUUGGUUGUCAUCUAAGUACAAACUUAAAGGGCUUUUCAUCAGGCCAAAGGCACCUCUGUCCAAUCCAUACCUGGCUCUCUGGACAGAAGAGAAAUGUACAUGCUUAUAGCCCAAAUCUGUAGAUUUUGCUAAAUAUGUUCCUGCUGUUUAAACAGAUAUCCAAAUAUCUGCUUUUUCUACACUGUGGGCUUCAGAAAAUAAGUUUUAACCUCUGUUCCUAGUUUAAACAUGUCUUAAACAGGUUUCUGCUUCUGGCUGACAUCUGAGUAUCAGUUGCUGACUACAGGCUGUUCUAAGUAGACUGCGAGCCCUAAACUUGCUGUGGAUGUGAACCAGUUCAGCUGAUAUGGACACCCCCUGUCUCUGCAACAGUGUCUGCUAACCAGAAGCCCCUGAUGAAUUCCCCAUUGCCUAAAUUCCUUUUUGCUUUUGACUAGCAUUUCAACCUUCUGGGGUCCCUAACUUCGUCCCAAAGUCAGCAGGAAGCAGUUUGGAAAAGAAUUUCGCCGUCCAUUUUCCCUGGUUAAAAUGCUAAGUCAAAAGGAACUCCCUUACAUGGGGAUGCCAAUAUCUAUCACUCCCUGAUGGGGAUGCUAGAGAGACAGCAAUUCCAUGAUUGGAAUUUCCAGAAAAGAAAAUGGGGGAAUGAAGGAACCGGCUUCCCUUUUGGCAGCCAUAAUGGUUAAACAUGUGCCUUUAUGACCUUGUCCUAGAAACCAGAAAGUCAGAUGCCUGUCUCGUGACAAGGAACCAAUCAGAAGUUAGCUGGUGGCGCUAUGCUUUACGACCCUGG
ensembl:lncRNA